UACGGAGGGUGCAAGCGUUAUCCGGAUUCACUGGGUUUAAAGGGUGCGUAGGCGGACAGGUAAGUCAGUGGUGAAAUCUCCGGGCUUAACCCGGAAACUGCCAUUGAUACUAUUUGUCUUGAAUACUGUGGAGGUCAGCGGAAUAUGUCAUGUAGCGGUGAAAUGCUUAGAUAUGACAUAGAACACCAAUUGCGAAGGCAGCUGGCUACACAAAUAUUGACACUGAGGCACGAAAGCGUGGGGAUCAAACAGG
rnacentral:rRNA from 1 species